rnacentral:rRNA from 1 species
AUGGAGGCUAACACUGGGGCGAUGAGGAGGGAGGAAGCUGGCCGCCGCGUCCAUCGCCGCCGUGGUGCAAGCUCGAAGUCGACGGCACCUCGCAAGAACCUGGGGCUUAUGGGCGUGCGGCAGCGGCACUGGGGCCGGUGGGCGGCGGAGAUCCGCGUGCCCCGCACCCGCGAUAGGCUGUGGAUUGGUACAUUCCGGUACCCCGAGCAGGCGGCGCUCGCCUACGACGUCACGCUCUUCUGCUACUAUGGAGAUACCCCACCGCGCAAGUUCAACUUCCCCGCCGCGCCGCGCCCCUAUGUCCCCGAGCACCGGCGCGGCAGCCUCACGCCCACCAAUAUCAAGGCCAUCGCCGAGACGCACGUCCUCGCUUUCUACGGCCAUGUCGCUCGGUCGAACGUGGCUGUGCCCAUGCCUGUGCCAGCGACUAUUGAACCCCUCACUGAUGUGGCCAUGGUGGCCAUCGCCGACGCAGGUAGUGCACCUAAUAACACCGGUGCCACAACUGCUAUUGACCAUGGUAACAACAACGAGAAUUACAUCGACAUGGAUGACAAUGUGGCUGCAGACGCCCCCCUGUUCUCCAUAGACUUCGAAACCUUCGCAGACAUGGUUGGCCUAUAA